UACGGGGGGAGCAAGCGUUGUUCGGAUUUACUGGGCGUAAAGGGCGCGUAGGCGGCCUCCGCAAGUCGACUGUGAAAUCUCCGGGCUUAACCCGGAACGGUCAGCCGAUACUGCGGGGCUAGAGUGCAGAAGGGGCAACUGGAAUUCUCGGUGUAGCGGUGAAAUGCGUAGAUAUCGAGAGGAACACCUGCGGCGAAGGCGGGUUGCUGGGCUGACACUGACGCUGAUGCGCGAAAGCUAGGGGAGCGAACGGG
rnacentral:rRNA from 1 species